GUCCAAAUCACGUUGAAACUACCAGUUCUCGUCUGAUCACUGAAGUCAAGCAACGUUGAGCACGGAGACUCCAACAAUUAUAAACAAACUAAUCGUUAGCGAAUUUUAUAACUGUCAAUUGACGGCCAAGGUUCUAUCAAUCCCUAUUCAAGUUUCAGUGGCUAUCAAAUAAUAGCCAAUGUUUUAUCAGCCAGUACUGGGCUAAAUAUAAAAUUUUCUCUGAAUUUGAAGCAUGUAACAUGAACAGAUCUCACAAGUCACAAGAGUAAGAAAACCAUUCUUAAGAAAUGUAAUAAUCGGACAACGUCCAAAUCACGUUGAAACUACCAGUUCUCGUCUGAUCACUGAAGUCAAGCAACGUUGAGCACGGAGACGCCAACAAUUAUAAACAAACUAAUAUUGAGC